UACGGGGGGGGCAAGCGUUGUUCGGAAUUACUGGGCGUAAAGGGCUCGUAGGCGGCCAACUAAGUCAGACGUGAAAUCCCUCGGCUUAACCGGGGAACUGCGUCUGAUACUGGAUGGCUUGAGGUUGGGAGAGGGAUGCGGAAUUCCAGGUGUAGCGGUGAAAUGCGUAGAUAUCUGGAGGAACACCGGUGGCGAAGGCGGCAUCCUGGACCGGUAUUGACACUGAAAAGCGAAAGCCAGGGGAGCAAACGGG
rnacentral:rRNA from 1 species